rnacentral:tRNA from 1 species
AGACUAUUAGUUUAUUAAAACACUUGAUUUCGACUCAAGAGAUUAUGGGUUGAGUCCAUAAUAGUCUC